CACGUAGUUAGCCGGUGCUUAUUCUUCAGGUACCGUCAUGAGGUACGGAUAUUAGCCGUACCCUUUUCUUCCCUGACAAAAGAGCUUUACAACCCGAAGGCCUUCUUCACUCACGCGGCAUUGCUGGAUCAGGGUUGCCCCCAUUGUCCAAAAUUCCCCACUGCUGCCUCCCGUAGGAGUCUGGACCGUGUCUCAGUUCCAGUGUGGCUGGUCGUCCUCUCAGACCAGCUACUGAUCGUCGCCUUGGUGAGCCUUUACCUCACCAACUAGCUAAUCAGAUAUCGGCCGCUCCAGGAGCAUGAGGUCUUGCGAUCCCCCAUUUCAUCCAUAGAUCGUAUGCGGUAUUAGCGUAACUUUCGCUACGUUAUCCCCCACUCUUGGGCACGUUCCGAUAUAUUACUCACCCGUUCGCCACUCGUCAGCGGAGCAAGCUCCCUGUUACCGUUCGACUUGCAUGUGUAAAGCAUGCCGCCAGCGUUCAAUCUGAGCCAGGA
rnacentral:rRNA from 1 species